AUCCUGGCUCAGGAUGAACGCUGGCGGCGUGCCUAACACAUGCAAGUCGAACGGAGCUGCUUUGAUGAAGUUUUCGGAUGGAUUUAAAACAGCUUAGUGGCGGACGGGUGAGUAACGCGUGGGUAACCUGCCUCACACUGGGGGAUAACAGUUAGAAAUAGCUGCUAAUACCGCAUAAGCGCACGGUUCCGCAUGAUACAGUGUGAAAAACUCCGGUGGUAUGAGAUGGACCCGCGUCUGAUUAGCUUGUUGGUGAGGUAACGGCCCACCAAGGCGACGAUCAGUAGCCGGCCUGAGAGGGUGAACGGCCACAUUGGGACUGAGACACGGCCCAAACUCCUACGGGAGGCAGCAGUGGGGAAUAUUGCACAAUGGGGGAAACCCUGAUGCAGCGACGCCGCGUGAGUGAUGAAGUAUUUCGGUAUGUAAAACUCUAUCAGCAGGGAAGAUAAUGACGGUACCUGACUAAGAAGCACCGGCUAAAUACGUG
rnacentral:rRNA from 1 species